AGCGAACGCUGGCGGCAGGCCUAAAACAUGCAAGUCGAACGCCGUAGCAAUACGGAGUGGCAGACGGGUGAGUAACACGUGGGAACGUACCCUUUGGUUCGGAACAACACAGGGAAACUUGUGCUAAUACCGGAUAAGCCCUUACGGGGAAAGAUUUAUCGCCGAAGGAUCGGCCCGCGUCUGAUUAGCUAGUUGGUGAGGUAACGGCUCACCAAGGCGACGAUCAGUAGCUGGUCUGAGAGGAUGAUCAGCCACACUGGGACUGAGACACGGCCCAGACUCCUACGGGAGGCAGCAGUUAGGAAUCUUGGACAAUGGGCGCAAGCCUGAUCCAGCCAUGCCGCGUGAGUGAUGAAGGCCUUAGGGUUGUAAGCUCUUUCAGCGGGGAAGAUAAUGACGGUACCCGCAGAAGAA
rnacentral:rRNA from 1 species